rnacentral:lncRNA from 1 species
ACACAAAUAACACAAAUCAAGAUUCUCAGGCAAUAUAUUCAAGUAUUUUUGCAAAAAUAUAUGAGACAAAUGAAUGCUAAGCACCAGUAUCAAUUAAAAUAUAUGCAAUAUGAUUACAGAUAGUAUAUGUACCCUGUAUCAUGUUCGGGUUGGAUUCAUCAUCCUACUGGGUGAGGUUGUAAGCUUUGCCCUGGAUAAGAGGUCUAGCCUGAUUCUGAUUUUAUGGGCACUCUCAUAUAUGUGGCAUGUAUUGUUGAUGCGAUAACAGGGUCGGUCCCCAUGAUCCUUACCACGAUGCUGACAAGUCCUACCGCGUCCUGUUAUCGAAGCCUGCGUGUCUAACCUAUGCCUCUUAUUCUGCGGUAGGACUUGUGGGGAAAAAUCUCAUACCUCCGGUUUCACAUUACAGACUAGCACCAGCUACAUCAGUUCCUCCCGGGCCUGCUGGGUAGAGAUGAGUUUUUCCAGCAUCUCAAAGAGUCAAUCAAUAUCCUCUCGAAGCAACCUAUCCCAGACUGCUCGGUUUAGUGAUGGUCUGCUUCUCCUCAUAUCAUUGUAUCUGCAUUUCACAAGAAAGGAUUGAACGAUAGUUUGUAUUUGGUGUUUUUAAGUCUUUGUAUAAGAAAUAGUUCCGAGGAAUUUAGCUCUGAUACUAACUGUAAUAGUCUG